rnacentral:lncRNA from 1 species
UUUAAUUAGAGUCAAAACAAAUUUCUAUUGGUAAGUAAUAUUUUUACCUCAAUCUAAAAAAAUCCACAAACGAAAUUCAAAUUCCAAAUCCCAAUUGAAACUUAAUCGUAAUAAAUUCCUCCUAACAUCAAUUAAAGUUGGAUAAAAGCUCAAACACGCAAAUCACCAGAUAGAAGGAAUUAAAUGGGUAUGGAGUUUGGUUUCAUCCAAAACAAAGUGGAUGAAUUUCUGGUAAGAGCAGCAGGCAGAAACUUCAAUUGAAUCCCUCAAUUUCCUAGCUCGUUGUAAUACCACUAAUUGAAGGUAAUAAUAGAGGCUACAGAAUAGAACAACACAAAGGAGCAAAAAAAUUAACAGAUAAACAAGAAUUUCAACUCUGAAAAAAGGAAAAGCAAGAAUUCAGGUCUUAAGGCUAACAAAAUAUGGCAAGAGUAGAAUCAGAGGAUCCUGAAACAUACGUAUUGAGGCCUCCAAGCUCCACAUUUGACCUUUUUCCAAAUGUUGACCACACUAUAUUUGGUGGGUUUUCACUGCACUGAGGGCCAGACAUGAUAAUAUUAGAGAAUGAGUUUCUGGGUUAUGCAAAGGAGAUGCUAAGAAACUGAGAAUGGUAGACAAUGCACUGACGACAUUAUGCACCAAAAGAAAAGAAAAGAAAUUAAUAAUAGUAAACUAAUGACAUUAAAAUUGUGUUUCAAAUAAAAUUGAAGGGAUAAUGGUCCACCCAUUCAACAGUUUAGCUCCGCCCCUUUAAGCAAGUAAAGGGAAAUGUUUUGCUCGGCACCAACAGUCCAAGGCUUCGUCUACUCUUAUUAUAAGCCUUGCUUUCUAUGCCUCAUUUUCCUUUGAAUAUAAUAGUUGUAUAAAAAUAUGAAUAACAGAUGAAUUUUCGUUACCCCUCCAAAAAAAAGAAGAUGUUUCAUGCCAAAAGAAUAUGUUAAGCUAUAAAAUGUUGCUACUAAGAGGUUCGAGCAAAAGAUUACUUACAAAGACUGAAAAACACUGAAAUAACCUGCAUGUGUCAUAUCCCUUAAAAACCUACAGCUGAAGAUCAAUGAAAUUCCAUAAAAAUACUUCAAAUCCAGCAAAUCAUAAUGCAUUAGGUAAACAACCAUACAAAGUUUACACCCAAUUUUUUUUAGAGAUUUUGCACACAAAUACAAAUGAAGAAAGAAUCAGAAGUAAAGAUUGACAUUGGUUUCAAAUCUUGUCGGUUUAAUCAAUAUGCAACUCAACCUGCUAACAGUUCGGACUUUCGUGCUUUUUGAGUUUUUUCAUGAGCACAAAACUUACAUUUUCAGUAGUCUGAGUUAGAACUUUUAAGGAUAACUAUGGCAUUUUCUUUGUCAAUGUUCAGUUUUUAGCAGCCAUCAACAUUGAUGAGUCUUUGCAACAAAUAAAUAACAACUACAAAAAAAUUCAUAUGAAAUCCAAAAAAUUUAACACACAUAGGUGUCCUCAAACCUCAAUUAAUAUAUCUACCUUCUACUAUGUGUAGUUAAUUUUUGUCGGUCGGUCGUUCGAUGUGAGCUUCUCAAAAAUAAAUAUUUAACAUUUCAUUACUCUGGUAAACCUUAAAAUCACAAUAUAACCUUGAAAAUUUAUUUUAUUAUUCUAUAAAAUUGAAACAAAUGCUUACCUCAAGGUUUAACUUCCCCGCUCUGAUCUUCCUCGUCAUCACCGCCUUCUCUUUUAAUGGAAACUCGACUCCAACUGCAAAUUUCAGGUGAGAGUAUUGCUGCGAUGGGCAAGAAAUCCAAAAUCGGGGAUAAGGUGAGCUCAGAUGGAGAGACGAAGUAAAGAACUUAAACCAAAAAACAAAUGCCCCAACACAGAUUCACAAAUGUACAAACAAACAUUAAAUAUCAAAUCUAAACCACUAAAUAGAAACUUCCCUAAUCUGAAUUGCGAUCAACAGUACAUUUGAACUCGAAAUAAAAAUGAGAUUCAGAUUCACUAACACCAACAGUUAAUUUAUCGAAUCCCAAUCAAUGAACAACAUUAACAAUAACACCAACAUUCCUUCAUUCAAUCCUCAACAACAAAACCCAAAAUGAUUUUCAGUUAUUCUGUUAUUUGGCUAUGAAAGGGAAUUGAAAAAAUAAAUGAAGAAAUUGUAUUUGUUUGUUGUACCUGUGCAGAACGAAAUAGACCCGUACAUCGUUGUUUUGGGUGGGAGAAGUGUCGAAACAAUCUUCGAAAGCGGAAUUGAAAGGAGCGAGAGAAGGGGAACAGGUAUAUGGAAGUGAAAUAGGGGUGAGGGUAGUGAAGAAGAGAAAGAAAGAGAAAGAGAAAAAGAAAAAGAAAGAGGAAGAGGAAGAGGAAGAGAAAUAAUUGGGAAUCUGAAGAGAGAAACGAUUUUGUCGAUAAGGGUUGAUUCCAAUUUAGCUGACCGAGUUAAUUCCUGAUUGAUUUCAAAUUGAGUAAGUUGAUUUUAAUUGAUUAAAAUUGAGUGCGUAAAGAAUAGGCUGUCAUGUCUUUAUAUUGAAGGUAUUGAGGUAUUGAUGUGUGUAAUUUUG